rnacentral:pre_miRNA from 1 species
AAAAAGACAAACCCUGCGUUUUCGUGUCCAACUUUGACUAUCCGUCUUAUAUGAAUUUUUCUUAUAAUUCGUAAUUUCAUUGUUGUUAGAUGAUAAAACAUGAUUAAUAUUUUAUGCGUGACUUAUCUUUUUAAUUUUUUUCAUAUUUUCUUUAAAUAAGACAGAUGGUCAAAAGUUGGAUACGGAAACUAGGG